rnacentral:misc_RNA from 1 species
AACUUCCACCUGGCAUACCUCUUCAUUUAUGUGUCAAGACUUGUAUUGUCUUGAGCGUAUUGUGGGUUUCCUGUGUUGCAUACCUAACUGAUGGCAUCGUUUUGAUUGAUUGGAGUCUCUUUUCGUCUUGUGUUGCCUUUGUGAUGCAUGAUGAACUUUGAAACGGCCUCUAUGUUCCACCAUGUUGAUGCUAGUGUUUUGAUGUUGUGGCCCAUUGAGUGUUGCUUGGUUUCGUGGAUACAGAACAUUAUUUGGGCAUAGGGUCACUUGUGACUCUUAUUUUGUCCUUUAUCAGUGUUCUUUAAAACGACGGUUCAUACGCGCCUAGGCUCGUACCUGCGCGAUGUUCUUUGUCGAAAAGGAAUGCUACCUGGUUGAUCCUGCCAGUAGUCAUAUGCUUGUCUCAAAGAUUAAGCCAUGCAUGGGUAA